AUACGUAGGUGGCGAGCGUUGUCCGGAAUUAUUGGGUGUAAAGAGCAUGUAGGCGGCUUAAUAAGUCGAGCGUGAAAAUGCGGGGCUCAACCCCGUAUGGCGCUGGAAACUGUUAGGCUUGAGUGCAGGAGAGGAAAGGGGAAUUCCCAGUGUAGCGGUGAAAUGCGUAGAUAUUGGGAGGAACACCAGUGGCGAAGGCGCCUUUCUGGACUGUGUCUGACGCUGAGAUGCGAAAGCCAGGGGAGCGAACGGGAUUAGAUACCCCGGUAGUCCUGGCCGUAAACGAUGGGUACUAGGUGUAGGAGGUAUCGACCCCUUCUGUGCCGGAGUUAACGCAAUAAGUACCCCGCCUGGGGAGUACGGCCGCAAGGUUGAAACUCAAAUGAAUUGACGGGG
rnacentral:rRNA from 1 species